UCACUUACCUGCAGGGGAGAUACCAUGAUGACUUAGGUGAUUCUCCCAGGAUGAUGAUGCUAUCCCAUUGCACUUCAGGUAUGUUGACGACUCCUCAAAUGCGGGAUACUCUACUGCAAAAUUUGUGGCAGUGGUGGACUGCGUUUGCGCAUUUGUUUU